rnacentral:rRNA from 1 species
GAUGAACGCUGGCGGCGUGCCUUACACAUGCAAGUCGAACGGCAGCAUGGAGAGCUUGCUCUCUGAUGGCGAGUGGCGAACGGGUGAGUAAUGCAUCGGAACGUACCGUGUAAUGGGGGAUAACGUAGCGAAAGUUACGCUAAUACCGCAUACGACCGGAGGGUGAAAGCAGGGGAUCGCAAGACCUUGCGUUAUACGAGCGGCCGAUGUCAGAUUAGCUAGUUGGUGAGGUAAAGGCUCACCAAGGCGACGAUCUGUAGCGGGUCUGAGAGGAUGAUCCGCCACACUGGGACUGAGACACGGCCCAGACUCCUACGGGAGGCAGCAGUGGGGAAUUUUGGACAAUGGGGGCAACCCUGAUCCAGCCAUGCCGCGUGAGUGAAGAAGGCCUUCGGGUUGUAAAGCUCUUUCGGCCGGGAAGAAAUCGCACAGGCUAAUACUCUGUGUGGAUGACGGUACCGGCAUAAGAAGCACCGGCUAACUACGUGCCAGCCGCCGCCGUAA